rnacentral:rRNA from 1 species
AUUGAACGCAGGCGGCAGGCUUAACACAUGCAAGUCGAGCGGAGUGAUGGUGCUUGCACUAUCACUUAGCGGCGGACGGGUGAGUAAUGCUUAGGAAUCUGCCUAUUAGUGGGGGACAACAUCUCGAAAGGGAUGCUAAUACCGCAUACGUCCUACGGGAGAAAGCAGGGGAUCACUUGUGACCUUGCGCUAAUAGAUGAGCCUAAGUCGGAUUAACUAGUUGGUGGGGUAAGGGCCUACCAAGGCGACGAUCUGUAGCGGGUCUGAGAGGAUGAUCCGCCACACUGGGACUGAGACACGGCCCAGACUCCUACGGGAGGCAGCAGUGGGGAACAUUGGACAAUGGGGGGAAACCUGAUCCAGCCAUGCCGCGUGUGUGAAGAAGGCCUUAUGGUUGUAAAGCACUUUAAGCGAGGAGGAGGCUCUUUUGGUUAAUACCCAAGAUGAGUGGACGUUACUCGCAGAGUAAGCACCGGCUAACUCUGUGCCAGCAGCCGCGGUAA